UUGACUGAGCCACCCAGGCACGUCAAGGGUCUUCUAAAUCAUAUACAAAGUAUAUUUUUUCACUUCUUUAUUUAAUAAUUCUCAUUAAUAAUUCUCAUUAAUUCUUUAUUUAAUAAUUCUCAUUAAUUCUCAAUAAUGUCUUAUAAUUUUCUCUGUAGAGACCUAAAGGGAAAGCAAAAGCAGAUUUAAAGUAAACUUCCAGAUCUUGGUUUUGAAUGACAAGGUCCUAGAUGCUGUCGUGUGUGUGUGUGUGUGUGUGUGUGUGUGUGUGUGUGUGUGUGUGUGUAUGUGUGUGUGUGUGUGUGUAUGUAUAGCAGUGAAAGAAAGCACUGACAUCAUUUUCAGAUGCCUUUGGGGGCAUACAGUUCAGGAUAUCUUGGAAGAAUUUGAGACUCUUGAAAGUCUUGAACUUAGUGACAGUUUAUUCAUGUACUCAUUCAGUAUAUAUUUAGUGAAUACCUGUUAUGUUCCGGUAAAUUUACUAGGCACUUGAAAUAAAAUGGUAUAUAAAACAUUUACAAAAAGUAAAGACCCUUGUUAGAGAGUCAAAUAUUAAUCAAAGAAUCACACAAAUUAACACAAAUUUCCAGAAGUCAAUUGAGAGGAAAUGAUAAAAUAAUGGAAGUCCAGGAAAGCUUUUCUGAGUAAGUGUUCGAAGUCUUGUAUUGGGAGGAGAAUUGAAUGUGAUCCUGCAGAAUAAAAAGGUUAAGAUUCUACAAGAUGCAUCAGAUGGUAGAGCAAGAAGGAACGACCUAAGAGAGGUGACAUUGUGGAGUCUUGGAUAUAUGCUAAGGUGCUCAUCUUAGAAGCACUAUGGGAAACUGAAAGGUUUAUGCUAUGUGGCUCCCAUAUUAGUACAAAUGGUACAGAUUUUUAAAAAUUUCCAAUACUGCAAAAUGUUCUGUUGAACUGUUCUGGAAUAGUGGUUUCAUUUAUCAGUCAAGUACAUAAAAGUGGAAAUUGAAACCUGGUCAUUGAUGAGCUUGCUAGGAGAAAGUAUAGUUAGAAGAUGGCCUUAUUUUGAGAAACGCAAAUGUUUAAUGGCUAGGAGAAAUAGAGUUAGCCUAAAAUGACACAGAGAAGGAAAAGCUUGAAGGCUAAGAAGAAACUCAGAUAGAAUGAUGCCCAAAGGACUACUUUAAAAGGAAUAGUUCAUUGUAUACAAUUCUCCAGACGAGUCAAGUAAGAUGAAGAUAGAAAAUUUCUGCUGGAUUCAGCAAUAAAGUGGCAUUAUCAGGAGCUGUUUUAAUGAGAGUGAAAUCCAGAAUACAAGUGAAUACAUUAUGUAUGGAUAACUAGUCAAGAAGUUUAGAUGCAAAACAGAGGAGAGAAAUAGCAGAGACUAGAAGGUAUUAUAGGAUCCUGAUAUUUUUGUGGGUUUUUUUUUAAAAGGGAGAGACACGAACAUAUUUACAUGCCAGUUGGAAUGGUGUAUUAAAGGAGAGAAGAUAAAUUUACAAAAGAAAGAACAAGAUAAUCUAACUUUAAGAUUCAAGAGACUUGAAAACCAUGGAUUCAUAACUGGUGGCUAGCUGCCUAGUUAAGUCUCUAUACCUCAGAUUAAGAGUGAGCCUGUGGGUUAAACAGGACUGAUUUAUGGGGUCUUUGGCAGGGGCAUUACAGGUGUAGGUGUGCAAAGAACGUGACAGGGCUCAAGAAGGGGCAGUUCUAGGGAGAGACAGCUAAAAACGUGAGGCCAUUCUAGAACUGUGAAGACUAGGAGACAGUAGAAGACUUGAUGUAUUGGAGGGCUCAAUGCAGUUAUGAGCACAUGUUUCUGAGUGAAGAAAAAGAGAAUGGGCAGGAUAGGAGGUCAAGGCCAAAUGUGAACAGAAUUUGAAAUUUGAAAGUGGGACACCUCCAGGUGUGACACAACUAGUGAAUUUCUAAGAAGAUGGCAGGGAUUGAGGUAGAAAUGAAAACUGUUAAUGGGGUUCUAAAGUCCCUAAUGAAUGUUGGGAGAGGAUGAUGGAGCAUUAAAAAUGGUAAAAACCUAAUGAAAUUAUAUUCAGAGUGAGGAGUGGUGUAGUCAUGAGUAAGUUAUCAGCCCUAUUAAACUUUGAGGUUUCACUUGUAAAAAAAAAAUCAUAAUUUUUCCCAAAAGUCAUUGAUGUUAAUGUAUUGACAUGGAUAUAUGGCUUAUAUACUAUACUGAAAGUAUAAUAUAUAUGGGAGAAAAAAAAUCAUGUUCUUUCCAUCAUCCAUAUGUUGAUAAUUGCCAAGUUGCUAAUACUAGGAUGUAUCAAGUUUAAUAAACAAUGGCGAUCCUCAAGAAAAUUGCUGUUGCUGAUGGAAGAAAAUUGCCAUGAUCAUGUGCGGUUCCGUGAUGACCAGAGGCCCAGUAUGGGACUUAGACUAUUCUUUCUGUCCAUAGAAAAAGUAUCAUUGGUGAGUGACAUCAUAGCAUAGAGGUGGGUCUAAGGAAAUUUCUUCAUUUGCUCUGGUAAACAAAUGCUUAAGCAUUUUCACACUGCCGUGAUUUGAAGAAAACUAGUGAUAUAUUGCUUCAGAAACUCCAACUGCAAAACUGGGUCACCAAAGUUCAUGCCUCACAGGGAUCCAGAAAGAGAAAGCAUGUGCUUCAGCAUCUGGAAAAAUGCAUUUCUAAUAUGAACUUGUGUCUUAAGGAAAUUGAUCAAGUUCAAAACUGUACAGAGAGUGUUUUAUAAAGCCAACUGAAUCUACUCAUGGUAGACAAAUCAGCAAGGAGACAGCUUUGAAAAAGCUCUGCCUGGUACAGGCCACCCUGUGAUAUAGUGGAAAGUUUGCUAAUACCAGGAAUGAAAGAAGAGUAUUCAUAGGAAAACAAGAAGUGUGAGAAUUAAGGAUUUUACUGCAAGUCAGAAAUAUGGCUUCACAGAUUUUAUUGGGUCAUAAGCAAGAUUUGUUUGUAUUUUUCUAAUGCAAUGGGCAGUCUCAUAAGUAAUUCCUCCAUGGAUUCACAUACCUUAAAGUCAUAUCCUCUAUCUCUGAAAGUCUGUGUAAAGUUGACAUGCUUGAUUGUCCACAGAACACAUUUAUGACAAGUGGGAUAAUUGGGUAUUUGUCAGCUCUUACUGCAAAGUUACUACUUUAAAUCAUGAGAUUUAAGUCAGAAAUAUUGACUAGCCAUAGUGAUUCUAAAGAAGCACUUAGCCCCAAAUUUUAUGUCUCCUAAAACUAAUUCCAGAAACAUUUUCAAAAUUUUAUUUACUUCAGUAUUAGUAUCUAUUGUUGUAAGAGAUACUCAGCCUAAUUGUUGAAUAUAGGGGAAAAGAAUAAAGAAAGGUAGAAAAAUGGGACUUUCUAUAACUUAGCUGUUUCUCACAUUUUUUGCAGGAAUCUUUUGAUAAUAGGGUGUAACAAGAAAAAUAAAAAACUAAAACAGUCUUAUCCCAUAUCCUAAGAAAAUUUAGUAAAUUGGUUUCUCUUUAUAGGAAUUUUUGGAAAAGGUUACUUCAAGUGUUAAUACGGCCGUCCAAAUGAAAACACUAGCAAGCCUAAUAGAAAACCAGGUUAUAGAGAUUUAUGGCGAGGUAGAGAAAAGAAUAAGGAAAAAAACCAAUUAGUUGAUAAGAAUUUACAGUAUAAUAAUUUUGGAGGAGGUAUGAGUUGAAGGGGGAAGAAAGGGAGCUCAAAUAGAAAAGAUCAGAGAACAAAGAGUCUAUUGAAUCACUUGGUUAAUUAACAUUCCAUUCGUCUUUACAUGAGUUAUAUCAAUAUUUCCUAAUCCAAACUAUAAACGGGCUUUCUCUUUGGUUGGUGAGAUAGGAAAUGAAGGGAGAAGAAGAGGAGAAAGAACAUGACACAGUUACUGUCAUAGAGAAAGGGAAUGGAAAAUCAGUUGGGCUAUGGGGGCUAAUAUGUACCCCUCAGGGCCACGGGGCAGUUGUUGGCAAAAUACAUUAGUGAUACAAACGUUUCUACCAACUUCAGUUUCUUACCGAGACCUCUGCUUCUCUUUGUUUAAGACAUACCACAUUUUUCUAAAGGUGUUUUGUUGAAAUGAGCAAAACAAAUUUAAAAGAUUGUCAAAAGCUGUAAAAAGUUAUCAGAAUCCCCUAGAAUAAAAGCAUUGCUAAUUAGACAGUGAUGAGGUGUUUGAUCACUGACCAAUGAACCUGUGUUUUGCACAUUUAUACUACAUUAUUUUGCUAACAUAUUUUGAGGAAGGUUCAGUUUUAUAUUAAAGCUUAUAAUUUUAAUACUGAAUAAACCCAUCUAUGUUUAGCGCAUGAAUGAAGAAAGUAAUGCGGUCAUUAUAGUUUCUUCUUUUCCUUUGAGAACAAUUAUUUUCAAACAUGUUUUCCCGGAGACUCUUUCCAAGUUUCAAAAUAGCGUAUCACAAGUCCCCUUUAACUUUGCUUUGGUCAAUGUUCUGUUUAAUUCAUACUUUGCUGUUCUGAUGUUGGCCUCCAGAAGGCAUGGAUGGAGUGACCUUAGCUUCAGUGUUCAUGCUGUCACCUUUUCCACUCACAUCUAGAAGGUUACAUGAGUAAGCAUUCCCCUACAUUCUGGUUUGCCAUGCCAAUGGGUAUUUGUGUGUGUGUGUGUGUGUGUGUGUGUGUGUGUUUGUGUUGGAAUGAAUUCCAAUGGAACCUACCUUCCUCUGACAGUUCAAUUCUGGGCAUAAGCCAAAGAAGCAAAUGUUGUUUAUCAUUCCUAUUGUAUCAUGUAGGAUAUGAAAAUCUAAAUAACCCAGAAUUAAUUGCUCCUAAAUUUUGUUACCUCAAACUCUGCUCCCCUAGGUAUCUGUAUUUACCAUGCCGCAGCAUACUACCUCACACACCUCUCUUGUUACUGCACUAUGAAGUCCUGGGAGUUAUGGAGCCAAAUAUAUAGAUGAGCAAGAUGGAACUUGAUAAAGCAUCUGGAAUUGAAAAUUCUCACAGUAGGGCCUGCUAACUUGAUUGCCUCAUCACCAUGGCAACGCUCAUCGGUCAGUAUAGCCAGUGCCACAACCUCAGGACUUUGUUGUUGUUCAACUUACACACAACAAUAGAACCAUAGUGGUCUUCAUGUCUUGAGACAAUAUAUCUUAGUGAUGAAGAGUAUGAACUUCAGAUGGACAGAUGGAUAUGACUUGAAAUCAUAGCUGUGCUCUUUAUCAGCUGAAUGACCUUGUGCACAAGACUUAACCCAGAUAUCACUUUGGGAGAAAAAGAAUAAGAUUACCUGUCUCAAUAUUUGGGAUACUUAAGAAAACUGAACACAGAUCCAAAAGUAAAUGUAAAAGGUAAGAAAGAAAUUAUUUAAACUCUUAUACAUGAGACCAUGAA